AAUGAAUGUUUUUUCACAUACAUAUUACAUUUAUGUUGGAUGACAAAUGAAGAGACUCUUUGAGUAUUAUUUAAAGACCCCUUGCUUGCAUCCAUUACUUCAUUGUGGAAGAUACUUUUAGCUCUAUUUGAUGUUACAAAAAUUAGCAUGAUUCAAGAUAGUAGAAGAGUUUUUACUGAAGACGACAAAGAAGAUAGAAUCAGUAGUCUACCUAGUAACAUUGUAGAUCGUAUUCUUGAACUCCUGCCUGUCCAAGAUGCAGCAAGAACUGGAGAUAAAUUUGGGCCAUGCUUCCGUAUUUGGUGUUGGAUAAUCUCUUCUGCAAUAACUUAGCAGUGCAGUCCCCAAGCAGCAUCCUUUUGCGCUCAACAAAUUGCGGCAUCUAAGUGUGAACUUCAAUCAUUUUGGUCAACCUUGUUACACUAUGGAGUUGAUUAAAAGAUCCCCCAAUUUGAGUAAACUUGAGAUUUGGGACAAUACUACUGCUGACCCUGCUGAAGCAAUUAUGAAAUAUCCAGUAUGUUUGGACCAAACCCUCAACAAGCUUGAAAGUGUUUCCAUCCAUUACUUCAAGCGUUCCAAAGUUGUACUAUCAUCUGUAAAGUUAUUGUUUGCUCAUGCUCCAUUUUUGUCAAGGAUGAGCAUUAAUUGGGAAAAAGGUUCUAGUUUGAAAGAAGAAUUGGAUGUUGCCACAGAGUUGAUGCGUUUCCCCGGAGUAUCUCCUAAGGCAGAGCUAAUCUAUGAUCCAAAAUGAAGAGUUGGGUUAAAGGUUGAAUGACGUAUUUAUUUGUUCUCAAAGAAUUUUGUUAAAGAAGGAAAUAAAUUAGCGAAUUAUGUUUUGCUUCAACAGUAGAUGUUUCAAAAAUUCAGUCUCUAUCGAUGUGUCUGAUAAGAUUAGCAAUGCCAUUGCAGAUGUUUCUUAUACGUUUAUACAGUUUUGGUAA